rnacentral:rRNA from 1 species
CAAAGGCUUGGUCCUGACUUUACUAUCAACUUUAGCUAAACUUACACAUGCAAGUAUCCGCACCCCUGUGAGAAUGCCCUACAGUUCCCCGCCCGGGAACAAGGAGCCGGUAUCAGGCACACAUAGCCAGCCCAUGACACCUUGCUUAGCCACACCCUCAAGGGAACUCAGCAGUGAUAGACAUUAAGCCAUAAGUGAAAACUUGACUUAGUCAAAGCUAACAGGGCCGGUAAAACUCGUGCCAGCCACCGCGGUUAUACGAGAGGCCCAAGUUGACAGUCACCGGCGUAAAGAGUGGUUAAAGAAUGAUUAAAACUAAAGCCGAACACCUUCAAGGCAGUUAUACGCACCCGAAGGUUAGAAGCCCAACUACGAAAGUGGCUUUAUCUUUCCUGAACCCACGAGAGCUACGGCACAAACUGGGAUUAGAUACCCCACUAUG